CCUACGGGUGGCAGCAGUCGAGAAUCAUUCACAAUGGGGGAAACCCUGAUGGUGCGACGCCGCGUGGGGGAAUGAAGGUCUUCGGAUUGUAAACCCCUGUCAUGUGGGAGCAAAUUAAAAAGAUAGUACCACAAGAGGAAGAGACGGCUAACUCUGUGCCAGCAGCCGCGGUAAUACAGAGGUUUCAAGCGUUGUUCGGAAUCACUGGGCGUAAAGCGUGCGUAGGCUGUUUCGUAAGUCGUGUGUGAAAGGCGCGGGCUCAACCCGCGGACGGCACAUGAUACUGCGAGACUAGAGUAAGGGAGGGGGAACCGGAAUUCUCGGUGUAGCAGUGAAAUGCGUAGAUAUCGAGAGGAACACUCGUGGCGAAGGCGGGUUCCUGGACAUUAACUGACGCUGAGGCACGAAGGCCAGGGGAGCGAAAGGGAUUAGAUACCCCUGUAGUC
rnacentral:rRNA from 1 species